GACUGUCCAAUGGAUUAUUUUCCUGAAUUUAGAAGGCUAUUAUUUUGAUAUUAAUUAAUAACAUUCGUUAAUUUGAACCAUAUCCAACUCAACCUUUUGCUAAAAACUACAAAACUAAAGAGCAACAGCCAAAUUGUAUUACGACUUUUGCGUCUACCUUGGGAAAUCCCUUUCUAUUUGUAUUUCGCGCUUCGUGUCACGUGAUUCAGACACAAACAAACAAAAUGGCGGAGGCUUCGAAAUCUACAAUGAGCGAACCAGCCAAAACAGAGGGAGAGAUGAGAAGAAGUAAAUGCGUGAGACAGCCAUCUAAGAGAAUGUUGUUGUAUUCUCAGGACACAGAUUCAGAUUCAAGUCUACAGAAGUGUUAAGGAAAACGUCCUGCCAGAAAGAUCCAGAAAGUGGAUACAUUAGCAACAAUAACUAAGUGGUGCUCUUGUCACAGAUGCCCACAAUACGAUAGAGUGGAAGAUCGAAUUUGCUGUGGGAUGGUCCCAGAAUUAUGCUCAAGUCACAGAACUGAGAUGACUCUAUCGGUGCUGGAUAGGAUGACCCUCUACAGUCAGCAGCAGUAUCAACAAGAUGUGUUUUCCUUUUAUGCAGAGACACUAGAAGAUGUCAAUAAAUCUUUCAGACAUGCUGCAUACAGACAAUUUACCAUCUUAAUGCAUGAGAAUAACUGUCCCAGCAUGUUGUGUUAAAUUAAUAAGGGAGAAGUUUCCUAGUCAUUAAGGCCAGUAUACAGGCUUCGUACCAGGUGAAGGCCCAGUGUUCUAAUAAUUUUGCAUAUUUAUGCCCCCCUUCGAAGAAGAGGGGGUAUAUAGUUUUGCACAUGUCGGUCCGUCCACCAGAUGGUUUCGAGAUGAUAACUUAAGAACGCUUAGGCCUAGGAUCAUGAAACUUCAUAGGUACAUUGAUCAUGACUGGCAAAUAACCCCUAUUGAUUUUCAGGUCACUAGGUCAAAGGUCAGUGACUCGAAACAGUAAAGCGGUUUCCGGAUGAUAACUCAAGAAUGCUUACGCCUAGGAUCUUGAAACUUCAUAGGUACAUUGAUCACGACUGGCAGAUGACCCCUUUAGUUUUUCCGGUCACAAGGUCAAAGGUCAAGGUCACAGUGACUCAAAACAAUAAAAUGGUUUCCAGCUGAUAACUCAAGAAUGCUUACGCCUUUUGAUCAUGAAACUUCAUAGCUAAAUUGAUAAUGACUGGCAGAUGACCCCUUUUGAUUUUCAGGUCACUAGGUCAAGGUCAUAGUGACUCGAAAUAGUAAAAUGGUUUCCUGAUGAUAACUCAAGAAUAAUUAGGCCUAGGAUCAGGAAACUUCAUAGGUACAUUGAUCAUGACUGACAGAUGACCCCUAUUAAUUUUCAGGUCACUAUGUCAAAGGUCAAGGUCACAGUGACAAAAAACGUAUUCACACAAUGGCUGCCACUACAACUGACAGCCCACAUGGGGGACAUGCAUGUUUUACAAACAGCCCUUGUUGCUAUUCUUUUUCAUUUAUCAGACAUAGAACUUUUCUUAGUUUUGAUUAUUUUUUGUUCUGGCUCCUUUUUUGAAACAUUUAUAUUUAUGCAAAUCAUUUGAGUUAUGCUUAAUCAUUUGGAUUUUUCAGUUCUAUGCAUUUUGUUUUGAAAAAUCAAUUUGUGUGAAAUGUGCUUGUUUAUUAUUAAAACUUGCACAGCAGUUUUGACAUUUGUAUGCUUACUUUGGUGUCAUUUGAAUGAAAUGCCACGAGUACUCUGGAUUGUAAGAUGAAAGAAAUAAAAGAAGCAAUGACAUAUUUCUUAAGAAUACUAUGUAAAUAAACUAAUUGAAAAUCAAAA